GUGGGCCUGACGUGGAGCUGG
rnacentral:miRNA from 1 species